AUCUGCCUACGGGGCGCAGCAGUGAGGAAUAUUGGUCAAUGGGCGGGAGCCUGAACCAGCCAAGUCGCGUGAAGGAAGAAGGUACCUAGUAUUGUAAACUUCUUUUGUCGGGGAACAAAGGCGGAGACGCGUCCCCGGAUGAGUGUACCCGAAGAAAAAGCAUCGGCUAACUCCGUGCCAGCAGCCGCGGUAAUACGGAGGAUGCGAGCGUUAUCCGGAUUUAUUGGGUUUAAAGGGUGCGCAGGCGGGAGAUCAAGUCAGCGGUAAAAUUUCGGG
rnacentral:rRNA from 1 species